rnacentral:rRNA from 1 species
UACAGAGGUCCCGAGCGUUGUUCGGAUUCACUGGGCGUAAAGGGUGCGUAGGCGGUCGGGUAAGUCUGAUGUGAAAUCUCACAGCUUAACUGUGAAACUGCAUUGGAUACUAUUCGGCUUGAGAGUUGGAGGGGGGUGGAAUUCCGCGUGUAGCAGUGAAAUGCGUAGAGAUGCGGAGGAACACCGAUGGCGAAGGCAGCCCCCUGGGCUGACACUGACGCUCAGGCACGAAAGCGUGGGGAGCAAACAGG